GAUGAACGCUGGCGGCGUGCCUAAUACAUGCAAGUCGAGCGAACAGACGAGGAUCUUGCUCCUCUAACGUUAGCGGCGGACGUGUGAGUAACACGUGGAUAACCUACCUAUAAGACUGGGAUAACUUCGGGAAACCGGUGCUAAUACCGGAUAAUAUAUUGAACCGCAUGGUUCAAUAGUGAAAGAGGGUUUGGCUGUACCUUAUAGAUGUAUCCGCGCCGCAUUAGCUAGUUGGUAGGGUAGCGGCUUGCCAAGGCCACGGUGGGUAGCCGACCUGAGAGCGGGAUGGGCCCCUCUGGAGCUGAGCGACGGCCCAGGCACCUACGGGCGGCAGCGGUAGCGACUGUUCCGCGCUGUGCGAAAGCCUGACGGAGCAACGCCGGCCGGGUGAUGCAGGGCUGCGGGCCGUAAAACGCUGUUAUUAUGGAAGAACGCAUGUGUCAGUGACUAUGCUCGUCUUGACGGUACCUACACAGAAAGCACCGGCUAACUACGUG
rnacentral:rRNA from 1 species